UGUGAGAGCUCACCCACCUCCUUACCAAAGUUGGGCAAAAGCUGCUCAUGUUUUGGGAAGGAGGCGGGAGAGCUCUCGCA